CAGAUUGGCUGUAAGGAAAAACGCUGUAAGCUGUUUUUCACCCAAUUCUGUCCAAAGAUCUGAUCUCCGAGCAGAGCAUUCUACGUACAUAUCCGCCUGGAGGAAUGCCCAAGGGCUUGUGAAACUAAUUUUGAACUCACCUUGCACUGCUGUUUCACAGGCUGAAAGAGUCAGCAUUAAGGAUCAGAGCAAGUGGUCAAGCAAGAAGGCUCCGGAACAAUGUGUUGUUUUGAAUGCUCAAACAAAUGGAGACCUAAGUUCAAACCAAAUCAAAAAGGAUGAGAAUUCAUCUAAGGAGCAUCCCAGCCCCUUGAGAUCUCAAGCUCAAGUCUUAUAUUCUUCAGCAUCUGGAAAGACAUUCCUAAGCCGUGCAGCUUCUUCAUACCCGGUCAAAGCAGUUCUGUUGGCACACAGAAAUCAUUACUCACAAAAUUCUACCUUAAAAGUGUUUGCUAAAAACUACGACAUUACAAAGACAACAAAACCACUAGUAGCAGGUAAAGAAAAUGAAGGCCAAACUAAAUCAAACGGGCAACCUAGAAAUAACAUCCGAGAGGUGCGUGAAUAUAUGCAUCACCAGGCCGUUGAGAGAAGGAGAAAGGUGCUGCAAAUGAGGAAAGAAGCACAGCGAGAGGACGAGAGGAGGCAAAGGAAUAUGCAUGAAGUAGUUAAAAAACAAAGGCAAGCGCUCCACAGGGCCAAGAGAGAACAGCAACAGGAGUACAAGGUAUGUAAAUGAAUGUUGUCUGGAAAAAGCAAA
rnacentral:lncRNA from 1 species